rnacentral:lncRNA from 1 species
UGCUGCCUGAUUUAUGAGUAAAUUGUUUCUCGUAGAAGGAAGGGCUGUUUGUUUCCAUACCCUAAAGUGCAAUACAAAGGCCAAAUCUCCACCCAUUCUGAAGACAGGUCUGAUCAACAUUAUAAAAACAUGAAGUUAUGCUGGAGGCAGAGCAGAACGCUCCUCAGCCUCCUAGAAGACACCUCCAGACUUGUCGGGAGGAUGAAGCUCUUGGCAUUCUGUGGCUUUCUGUUUGUCUUUCUUUUGUGCCUCAGUGCCUUUGCUGCAGAAGGUCGGAAUGUUAAAAAAGGCUGCUGUUUAAAACUGACCAAAAUGAACAGAAAAGUGCAUAAAGGUACGCAUUCCAGAAUGACACCAAUGCAAAUAAGGAAAUGCAAGCCCUGUGCUGCACCAAGACCUCUCUUUGCUCCCGGACCCCUUCCGCAGCUGAAAUGAGCAGACAGAGCAUCUGUCUGCCAACGUGUCCCAGUGCUUUACUUGGUUGAGGGUCCUCUUUUCACAAAUAGUGCAUGAAUGUCUGCUACUUUGGUCAAUAUUUAUGCAUUCUCUCAGGCUUCAACAUGUUAUCAUUAACAUGGCAGCUGAUGAGCCAGGCAGAGCUGCCUGGCUGCUACUAGACUUUAUCUGUUGCAUGUUCCUCUUAACCAAACAGGGAUUUAGCCCUGCAAACAAGGGCUGGCUGAAACACUUUGUUUUGCAUUUCUGGAUGGAAAAAGUCUGAUGUUAUUGUUUCAGGUUAAUGGUAUAUAUGUUUGUAUUUUACAUUUUAUCUGAGUAAUUUCUUAUUGACAAAAGCUUUCUGUUUGUAGCUAGGCACGUGACAAACUUGUUCCUGUAGCGUUUGUUUUCAGUGCUUGAAAUCCACUUGUAAGUGGAUUUCUAGUAAGUGAAAAUGAACUCGUGAUUUACAAGGGGCUGAGAAGCUAGAUGAGUGGGCUGUUAAAAUAGUUGUGAAGGACUAGAUCCAAAUACAGUGCCUAAGCAUCUCAGUAUCUCCUCUGGGGGACAAACUGUGCUUUAAAAGCACGAGGGCUGUUCUUUAACUUCCCAGAAGAAUGUAAUCAGGUGGUUAUUAUACAUACUGAAAGGAUGCUGAGGUUAAUCUGAUUAAAUCUUAUUCUGAAGCCAGAAGGCAGUCGUUCUGUUCAAGCGCCUGAUUUGUGUGAUCAGCGAGUUCUGUUUAUUGAAGUGAAGCAUGAUAUUAAGCAAAUGCUAUGAAUAAUACCUGCAUGCUAAAGAGAGAAACAGAAGCUGUCUCCUGUCAUCACCACUGGAGUUUUCGCUCAGGUAUCUCCUGUCCUUUUGUACCUGUCCCCUGACUGUGCUGUUAUUUCUGUGCCCGGGGUGAGUUCUCAAACCAGAGUUGCUUGGAGGUUUAUGAGCUUGGUUUUCCGUCUAGUGAGUAUGAGGUGCAGUGGAAAGCUUUUCCGCUCUUGGGCAAAUUGAACUUUGCCAAUAGUAAUUUUACCUUCAGCAGAAGGAAAACUUCUGUUUCCCUAAGGUAGUUUCCAGUCCGAUAGAAAUGGUCUCUGUGCCGUUCAUUAAUCGGGGGAGCUGAACGGGAAUGGUUAGAUGCCUAUUGUAAACUCACUCAGGCAAAAGCAUUUCCCUGGAGAGAAGUUAACGGGCACUUAGAUGUGGCUGUGCUCUCUUAUUGUCAGCGUUUCUAUUGUGCUGAGCAAUUGUUGUUACUGCGCUUCAUUGCUUUUUGAGUUUAGGUAGAUCUGACCCUUGGCUUCCUAGUUGUGAGCUAACUGCAUGUAGUGUUUUCAUAUCAAGGAUAAAAGGGAUCCUCUGGUCGUCACAGGAUGAGCCAAGGUUGAUGGAAAAGCUGCGUUCAGUAGUUACUCUGACCACUGGGCAAACACAUUAAGCUUUACAUUGUUUUUGUAUGUCACAAAAGGUGUCAGCAAUAGAAGUGAUGCAGAAAGUGUUUUGGAUGUGACAUAUUUUAAGACAUGAUUUAAUCUGUAAUAUGUGGCCACGUGUCUACAGCUCUGUGCAAAGCACUAUUAACAGGUAUGAGGGGUUCUGCUCUCUAACGUGAGUUAAGGCCAUUUGUUUUAUGUUAGUAAAACGCUACGAGAUUUUUCUUUUUGUCCUCCUCACAGCAUAUUCCAGGCUCUGGUUCUGUUUCGGGCAGCAUUGUUUCUGAUAGCAAAAGAAGCCUCCAAGACCAUCGACAUAAUUACAGAAAUGCUUGGGGUCUUUAAACAUCAUCCAUGCACUUGGAUAUUUUUAUUCACCUAGCUUCUCAGGCUAGCCUCAACCUAGGGGUAAGGGCUCUUCAAAUAGAUAAAAAUGUCAUGGCAGUGAGGCCUUGGUCUUGACUGAACAAACUAAAGCAGGACUCCUCAAGCUAUUUCAGUGCUGACUGUGAUAACUGCUGCUCAAAUAGGGUUUUUGCGUGGCUUGCUGGUAUCAAGAGGUCAUCUGUCAUCUUCCCGAAGGUGAUUCCUCACCUUCAAGUCAGACUUGUAUUUCCUGAACCAUUUUCCCUAUGUGGUGGAACAGAGUUACCAUCUGAUCACAGCUUCGCUUCACAGGCAACUGUUUUUCAUAUUAUCUCCUUUAUAUCCAUGGUUUGUUUGUUUGUUUUUUUCGGCUUUACCUGGAUAGAAACAUAUUUACUCAGCAGCUUUGCAGAAUCCACAGUCUGUAUGCUUAUGUGAAGCAAUAAAUUCACUGUGCCCAAGUUCACACGUGCGUUUGUUUGUAUCCUGUGUUUUUGUGUGCAUCUGGCUGUCAAGCAUGAAGACUAUACAGCUUUCAAGUUCCAAUAAAGAUAUUUUUGAUGUAUUUUUAUGCUUCCCAGAAUACAUGUUGGAUCCUAGUCUGACCUUGUUUGCUAAGUGAUCCAUGUUCUUGUCGCUUGUUUUGAGAUUAAUACUAUCAGCUGACACCAAAUCAGUCUUGUAUAUGCUACUACAGAUGUGAACAGUUGGGGGCACAGAAAUAGUUGCUGCUGAGAGGGGCUGUUAGAGCACAAGUAGUUAGUUGCUUUUUUCCCUUCAAACUCCACACCAGAAGACUCAAAGUUACAUAUUCUUUGUACAGAUUAUAACCCCAGAGGUGUACUGGGGAUUCUUGCUGUUGACUCCUCUGCUGUCUCGACUCUGGUCUACAGCUGAUGCGAGGGUCUGGGUGUAGCCAGUUUCAAGAUUUUAGCUCUGGAGAAGUUCUGUUAAUUCGAAGUAUGGGCUACUAUGGCAGCUUCCUAUGACUGUAUCUUCUAAGGAAAACCAAAAUCC